rnacentral:lncRNA from 1 species
CUAGUUCCACAAGAGGCGCCAUUACCACGGUCGAUUUUGGGUCGUGACACAUGAUUUAUAGACUUGCCUCAUCCUCUUCUUCAAAAAUAUAGCACUAUACGAUCAACAAGUAUAAAUAGUAGCAAGAAUGUGAAGGUCGUAAAACAGAGUAGAGGAAUAAAAGAUACAAUUCACAAUAUGACACUAGUUUCAUCAAUUUCAAUCUCCUCCAUAGUUUUUCCAAUUCAUCGAGAAAAUCAAGAAUCUUCAAAUAAACUUAAUUGGUUGUGCAUUUGGAAUUACACAGCAGGUCCAACCCUACUAGAAACAUGUAAAACAGUCAUGCCAUGAUCAUAAUUAUAAGCUGCAAGAAAUAUUGGACCAUUGCUAGGGAAAAAAAAGAUGCAUUCAGUAAUGCAUAGUGUUAGAACAUAAACAAUAGCCUUCUUCCUUGAGUUUCCUCCUAGGCUGCCUAACAUAAAGAAGGAUAAAGGUAGGACAUAAUUUUAAAUAUUUAAUUAUUAUUCCUAAUUGAUUAGAGAACAAUCCACCUUAGUUGCAACAGAAAUAAUCAAGUUCUCCGUAUACGAAAUUUGUAAAGAGUAAUUUCUUUCUUUAUGCUAAGUUAAAACCUUUUUCUCAAAUCAAGUCCUGGUGAAUACAAUGAAAUUGCAAAUGACUAAGUGAUCUUUAACAAAAUCAGUAGAUCAAGUGAAUUAUAUAGUUUUGUUUUAAUGGUUUCCGAUAAUCCAGUAUGCGUCUCAAUCUAAAAUUAGAUUCUCAACCACCCUGUCAUUGAUAAUCGACUUCCAAUUAGGCAAAUUUAGCAGAACCUCAAACAAGAGAACCAGAGGCAGCAAAUAUAGACGUAAUCCUAGCCAGAAUCCUUCCAAGAUGAAAUAAGCUAAAAUAGCAAUGUUUUGUUUCCCCAUAACACUUCAUACAAGAUCUUUCCUUAAAGUAUGUCAUGUAAUAAGGAAGAUAAGAUACUACACUAAAUAUCAACAGCUCCGGUAUUUAAGACAAGUAUCUAUAAACUGAUUGACUUAUAGAAACUGGGCUUAUGGGUCAAGAAAAUAUAUACUAUGACCUGCUGCAUUUGGUACGACUUUCUCUUUGCAGAUCAAAGGUUUCAUUUCUUAUUGGUUAAUAUAUGGAUAUUUCUUUUUAUGUGUUUAAAUCCCUACUGUACAUUCAACAAUAAAGGUUUCUAUUAAAGCAGAGAAUUACCUCUUUUUCUCCAUCUCAUGUUUCAGUGUAUUAGCAAGAGUUUUCUCUCCACACUUGCGAUAUCCUGGGACAAAAGAAAGAGCCUUUACUUUAUGUAAAGCUCACACAUUCUAACAACGCAAGUAUAAUUGGUAGCACCCAAAUAUACAAGUGGAACUACCAACCUGCACUAGCAGCUUAUAAAAAAGUAGUGAUUGAAUGAUAAUUGGUAGUACAAGUAAGGCUUUAUGGAUGCACGACACACAGAUUUAUUCUUGAAAUCCCUUAAAUAUUGCAAAGAGUUUCUUCUUCUGGUGUUUUGUCACUUGUAAUUACUACAACACUCUGAUAAAAAAAAAUGCUUCAUCAUUUCAUUAGUGCUAGCUUUAUAAUACAAUUAGUUUUCUCUAAACAUGGAUUUACUUCUUGAACCUCAAUAUUCCUUAGUGAAAGACACUAAGAUUUAUCAAUAAAACUAAGGAACAAAAGGGUCACUAUAGUUUUAAUUUUAAAAAGGCAACUAAUCCUCUUAUGCUCCUAGUUGAAAUCACAGUAAUGAUUAGAUUUCACUUAAUUUUCUAAGAGAACAGAUAACACCUAAUCUCACAAAACAUUCAAUUCCUUGGAACCCAAAAUAUUUAUUGAAACAAGAAACAAACACAAUAUCUUCCUCAAGAUGAACAAUAGUAAUACUCACAUCACUAGAUGUAACUAUUUCCACUCUGAGUUUCCAUCACUAUUGAUUUUAAAAUCAGUACAAUUGAAUUGCAUUAAUUCAAUUUUCAAACAUAGAUGCUAAAAAUAUGAAUUUAGACAGAGCAGGAACUAACUUACAAUGAGAUGUGAGAAUCAAAGUAACAUAACCAAAGAGAGAUCCGCAAAGCCAGAAGUAGCCUAUUCUUUAGUAGUAUUACAACCCAAAAAAUAUAGCCAAAGUAGCUGCUAAAAACUACAUCUAUCCCAAUUCCAAAAAGCACAAAUAUACCAAAAAAUAAGUAAAUUAUAGUCACGAUCUGCUUGUGAAUCUACAAUCAAUAGAAAGGAACAUAAUUAAAAAAAGGUAAAAUAGAAAUACCAACCGUAUAAGAGAUGAGACCAUUGAUUAGACUGGAAUGGAGCUAUAAGUACUGAUGUGGAUGAACCACACUAUCUUUAUUUAGAACCUGUAAGAAAAUGGUUAAUUUGUUGCCCUAAUUUUUUCUUUGAAAAAUUUGUCGAUGCUGAUUAGGACAUGCUAACUAAAAACCUAAAUCGAAGCAUUCAAGGAAUUGAAACCCUAAAUUAGAAACAACUAAAACUAGAGAUGAAGGAGCUUACGAUUUCAAGCCAUAGCCCCAACACUGGAAGAUAAGGUUGUCGCUCAUUUGAACCUCUUAACACAAAGCACGAGUCCAAGGGUUGAACUAAUUGGGGAAGGUGAGAGCCAAAAUAAAAAUAAAAAAGGGCAGGUAUUCUUUAGGAGGCCACAAGUCAAAUAAUUUAUUGAGAAAAAUAAAUAUUUUACCAACAAGAAAAU